GUGCUUGCUUCAGCAGCACAUAUACUAAAAAAAUUGGAAUGAUAGAGAAAAGAUUAGAAUGGCCCUUGUGCAAGGAUGACAUGCAAAUUAGUGAAGCAUUCCAUAUUUUU